AACGAACGCUGGCGGCAUGCCUAACACAUGCAAGUCGAACGAGACCUUCGGGUCUAGUGGCGCACGGGUGCGUAACGCGUGGGAACCUGCCCUUAGGUUCGGAAUAACUCCCCGAAAGGGGUGCUAAUACCGGAUAAUGUCUUCGGACCAAAGAUUUAUCGCCUUUGGAUGGGCCCGCGUUGGAUUAGCUAGUUGGUAGGGUAAAAGCCUACCAAGGCGACGAUCCAUAGCUGGUCUGAGAGGAUGGUCAGCCACACUGGGACUGAGACACGGCCCAGACUCCUACGCGAGGCGGCAGUGGGGAAUAUUGGACAAUCGGCGAAAGCCUGAUCCAGCAAUGCCGCGUGAGUGAUGAAGGCCUUAGGGUUGUAAAGCUCUUUUACCCGGGAUGAUAUUGACGGUACCGGGAGAAUAAGCUCCGGCUAACUCCGUG
rnacentral:rRNA from 1 species